CUAUUACCGGCACAGGAGAUACCCUGAUCAUGAAGGUGGUUUUUUCCCCGGGCGAGGCUCACCAUUGCACUCCCGGGGGUGCUGACCCCCGCGAUUAACCCCAAAAGUGGUUAACUCGAGUGCGAAAUUUUUGUUAGCAGGGGGGCUGCGUUCGCGCUUCCCCUUU